CUACAGGCUUAACACAUGCAAGUCGAGGGGCAGCAUGGUCUUAGCUUGCUAAGGCCGAUGGCGACCGGCGCACGGGUGAGUAACACGUAUCCAACCUGCCGUCUACUCUUGGACAGCCUUCUGAAAGGAAGAUUAAUACAAGAUGGCAUCAUGAGUCCGCAUGUUCACAUGAUUAAAGGUAUUCCGGUAGACGAUGGGGAUGCGUUCCAUUAGAUAGUAGGCGGGGUAACGGCCCACCUAGUCUUCGAUGGAUAGGGGUUCUGAGAGGAAGGCCCCCCACAUUGGAACUGAGACACGGUCCAAACUCCUACGGGAGGCAGCAGUGAGGAAUAUUGGUCAAUGGGCGAGAGCCUGAACCAGCCAAGUAGCGUGAAGGAUGACUGCCCUAUGGGUUGUAAACUUCUUUUAUAAAGGAAUAAAGUCGGGUAUGGAUACCCGUUUGCAUGUACUUUAUGAAUAAGGAUCGGCUAACUCCGUGCCAGCAGCCGCGGUAAUACGGAGGAUCCGAGCGUUAUCCGGAUUUAUUGGGUUUAAAGGGAGCGUAGAUGGAUGUUUAAGUCAGUUGUGAAAGUUUGCGGCUCAACCGUAAAAUUGCAGUUGAUACUGGAUAUCUUGAGUGCAGUUGAGGCAGGCGGAAUUCGUGGUGUAGCGGUGAAAUGCUUAGAUAUCACGAAGAACUCCGAUUGCGAAGGCAGCCUGCUAAGCUGCAACUGACAUUGAGGCUCGAAAGUGUGGGUAUCAAACAGGAUUAGAUACCCUGGUAGUCCACACGGUAAACGAUGAAUACUCGCUGUUUGCGAUAUACUGCAAGCGGCCAAGCGAAAGCGUUAAGUAUUCCACCUGGGGAGUACGCCGGCAACGGUGAAACUCAAAGGAAUUGACGGGGGCCCGCACAAGCGGAGGAACAUGUGGUUUAAUUCGAUGAUACGCGAGGAACCUUACCCGGGCUUAAAUUGCAGAUGAAUUACGGUGAAAGCCGUAAGCCGCAAGGCAUCUGUGAAGGUGCUGCAUGGUUGUCGUCAGCUCGUGCCGUGAGGUGUCGGCUUAAGUGCCAUAACGAGCGCAACCCUUGUUGUCAGUUACUAACAGGUUCCGCUGAGGACUCUGACAAGACUGCCAUCGUAAGAUGUGAGGAAGGUGGGGAUGACGUCAAAUCAGCACGGCCCUUACGUCCGGGGCUACACGCGUGUUACAAUGGGGGGUACAGAGGGUCGCUACCACGCGAGUGGAUGCCAAUCCCCAAAACCUCUCUCAGUUCGGACUGGAGUCUGCAACCCGACUCCACGAAGCUGGAUUCGCUAGUAAUCGCGCAUCAGCCACGGCGCGGUGAAUACGUUCCCGGGCCUUGUACACACCGCCCGUCAAGCCAUGGGAGCCGGGGGUACCUGAAGUGCGUAACCGCGAGGAGCGCCCUAGGGUAAAACUGGUGACUGGGGCUAAGUCG
rnacentral:rRNA from 1 species